AGUGAACGCUGGCGGUAGGCCUAACACAUGCAAGUCGAACGGCAGCACAGUAAGAGCUUGCUCUUACGGGUGGCGAGUGGCGGACGGGUGAGGAAUACAUCGGAAUCUACUUUUUCGUGGGGGAUAACGUAGGGAAACUUACGCUAAUACCGCAUACGACCUACGGGUGAAAUCAGGGGAUCUUCGGACCUUGCGCGUUUGAAUGAGCUGAUGUCGGAUUAGCUAGUUGGCGGGGUAAAGGCCCACCAAGGCGACGAUCCGUAGCUGGUCUGAGAGGAUGAUCAGCCACACUGGAACUGAGACACGGUCCAGACUCCUACGGGAGGCAGCAGUGGGGAAUAUUGGACAAUGGGCGCAAGCCUGAUCCAGCCAUACCGCGUGGGUGAAGAAGGUCUUCGGGUUGUAAAGCCCUUUUGUUGGGAAAGAAAAGCAGCAGGUUAAUACCCCGAUGUUCUGACGGUACCCAAAGAAUAAGCACCGGCUAACUUCGUG
rnacentral:rRNA from 1 species